AACGAACGCUGGCGGCAUGCCUAACACAUGCAAGUCGAACGAGACCUUCGGGUCUAGUGGCGCACGGGUGCGUAACGCGUGCGAACCUGCCCUUAGGUUCGGAAUAACUCCCCGAAAGGGGUGCUAAUACCGGAUAAUGUCUUCGGACCAAAGAUUUAUCGCCUUUGGAUGGGCCCGCGUUGGAUUAGCUAGUUGGUAGGGUAAAAGCCUACCAAGGCGACGAUCCAUAGCUGGUCUGAGAGGAUGAUCAGCCACACUGGGACUGAGACACGGCCCAGACUCCUACGGGAGGCAGCAGUGGGGAAUAUUGGACAAUGGGCGAAAGCCUGAUCCAGCAAUGCCGCGUGAGUGAUGAAGGCCUUAGGGUUGUAAAGCUCUUUUACCCGGGAUGAUAAUGACAGUACCGGGAGAAUAAGCUCCGACUAACUCCGUG
rnacentral:rRNA from 1 species